rnacentral:rRNA from 1 species
CAGCAGCCACGGUAAUGCGGAGGGGGCUAGCGUUGUUCGGAAUUACUGGGCGUAAAGCGCACGUAGGCGGCUUGGUAAGUUAGAGGUGAAAGCCCGGAGCUCAACUCCGGAAUUGCCUUUAAGACUGCCGAGCUAGUAGGUGAGAGAGGUAAGUGGAAUUCCGAGUGUAGAGGUGGAAUUCGUAGAUAUUCGGAAGAACACCAGUGGCGAAGGCGGCUUACUGGCUCAUUCUAGACGCUGAGGUGCGAAAGCGUGGGGAGCAAACAGGAUUAGAUACCCGUGUAGUCCCUGUCUCUUAUAC